CUUUGCCUGAGGUUUCCGCGCGGGGCUGUGGCGCCGACGGAUCCAUCCGGCCAGGGGGAGGGGCCGAGCCCGGCUGCAUGUAACACCCGGAAGGCGGCGGAGGACAGCAAGGUGGCUGGCCGGCAGGCCAAUGGCGGCCAACGCCACUUCCGGCCGCCCUCCGAGCAUCGCUCUUCGGCAACCCGAAGCCACAGGAUGGAGGAGGGGGAUCCCAGCAAAGGUAGCGACUAAGGGGACCCAAGCAGAACGGGAGGGCGACGUCCGGAGCGGCGGCAGAGCCAGGGGACGCUGUGUGAGGCUGGCAAAGCGGUGUUCACCUAGUUCUCUCGGGCUCCGCCGCCGCCGGAGGAGGACAGGAGGCCGGCAAGGCGACCCCCAAAUCUUCCUAGGCUCUGACUUCCGUCUCCUAACCCCCGCAAAUUCCAACCCGGUCUUGGAAAAUCCCGCGAGAACGGGCUCCCGAAUUGUCAUUGGGAUCUCGCGAGAACGAAAUCUUCCUUUCUGUGGGCGGAGCAAUCUUCCCGAUGUCUCUUCCCUCUGAGGCCAGUAGCAGGAAGGGCCUCGGGAGUUGCGAGUGUCGCGAGGUUUGAGGUCGCUCGGUGGGCCGGGCGCUGUGCGAAGCUAGAAAUAACUGGGGGCAUGGAGAAUGCGGUGGCUGUAAAGGGCCGCUGAGGCGGUGGAGGCCUGGCAGAGAGCGUCCCCGCGGUCGCGGCUUCUGGCUUCUCUGUGGAGCUUGGUUCUUCCGUGGUGGUGCAGCACCCCAGGAACUUCAGGAACCAGUCCUUCCUUGGAGAGCUCCCCGGGACAGCCACGGGGGCCAAGUGAAACUAGCGCGUUUUCUUGGAUCCUACACUUUAUAUGUAAAGUGUUUUCCUCCGUACCAUCUGACGUUUCUGGCGGUUCGUUGAACGCGAGAGAACGCUGAGCCGUCUGCACUGAGCCCGGGAGCAUCUUCAGGGCAGCGCCGCCCACGCGCGAGGUGAAUGAAGGACACGGCCUCUUGACACUCCCAGGCAG
rnacentral:lncRNA from 1 species